rnacentral:lncRNA from 1 species
CAGUCAGCCUCCGCUUUCAUCCCAGAGCAGUCCACGGGGGCCUUAAAGGAAUGUAGGCUGGGUGAAGUUGGCCCAGUGACACCUGCGUUCAGAAAAACGUUCUUUCCGCUCCCAACGCCCCCUCUCCACCGCCACCCGACCCCCGAAAUAGUUUUCCCCGAGUGUUGUGGAUAGAACUGUUGAUCUCUUGGAAAAGUUAUUGUAUCCUGCCAUCCUUCCCUCUGGAGACUCCACUUAAUAUAUAUAAGUACUUUCUUUCCUGUAUAUGAUGGAAGAGUAUUAGGGGGGUGAGGGGAGGGACGAAGCUGCCUUCUUUAGGGAAAAAAGAUUGACUUAUAUUUUGAAAGAUGCAAAAGCUGGUGUUUUUGCUACUGAAUUAAUAGCCUAUUAAUAUGCCACAAAUGAUAUAUUGGAACUGUAUUUUCAAACAUUUAACGCCUGCUGUAUGCAAAGCACUAUGCUGACAGCUUAAGGGUACCACAAUGAUAAAUUACACCAAUCUUGUUUUUGGCAUUUUGGGGAGUCUAGUGUCAUAGGUAAAGAAGUACAUAACUAACAAUAAGCUUCAAAAAUUCAAUCAUAAGGCCCGGCACCGUGGCUUCCGCCUGUAAUCCCAGCACUUUGGGGGAUCACUUGAGCCCCGGAGUGUGAGACCCCGUCUCUACCAAAAAAAAAAAGAAAUUAGCUGGGCAUGGUGGUGCCUGCCUGUGGUCCCAACUGUUUGGGAGGCUGAGGCCGGAGGAUCACUUGACCCCAGGAAUCUGAGCCUGCAGUGAGCUAUGAUUGCACCACUGCACUCCAGUCUGGGCGACAGAACCAGACCAUGUCUAAAAAGAAAAAACACUCAGUGAUAAUUUCACAUUACAGUUUGAGAGGUUCCUGUUGACUUGGGGAAACUAGUUUUAGCAGACUUCAUUAAAGGAGUGUACACCUUACUACAGGAUGUAAUUUAAAAUAGAAUGUUUAAAUAAUAAAUUCACUUCUGGGUAUAUACUCAAAGCAGGAAUUCAAACAGGUAUUUGUACACCAAAGUUCGUAACAGCAUUAUUCACAGUAGCCAAAAUGUGGAAACAACCCAAAUGUCCAUUAAAGGAUGAAUAAACAAAAUGUGAUAUACAUACAAUGGAAUAUUCAGCCUUUAUUUUUCCAAUCAGAGUUUCAGGAAAAUCAACCUUUAAAAGGAGUGAAAUUCUGACAUUUGCUGCCACAUGGAUGAAUCUUGAUGAUGAUAUGCUGAGUGAUAUAUAAUCAGUCACGGAAGGACAAAUACUGCAUGAUUCAAUUUAUAUCAGGUAGUGCUUUGCUAAUGACUGACCGGUGUGGAUGUAUAAAAGUCCAGCUCCGUGAUCUCAGACUUCCGGCCUCCAGAACUGUAAGAAAAUAAUUUUUUGUUGUUUAAGCCAUCCAGUCUGUGGUAUUUUGUUACAGCUACCCAAGCUGACUGAUAACACUGAAUUAUGUACAUAACUGAAUAACCACCUAUGGAGCAAUAAGAGCACAUUUGGAGCAUCUUCUCUACCAAGCAAGAAACAAAAACGUUCUCACCUUAUCAAUAUUCUACAAGUUAACCUCUAACUUCUCAGGGUUGUUAACUGUUUGGACUCUCUUGUUUGUAGGGAGUGACUCAGAGAAAGUUAGAGUCCCCAAGAGAGCCAUAUGCCUGAGAGACAGGCUUAAUUCUCUGGCAUGUUACUAAAAUGUCAGCCAUGUGCAGUGGCUCAUGCCUGUAAUCCCAGCUCUUUGGGAAGCUGAGGCAGGAGGAUUGCUUGAGGCCAGGAGUUUGAGACUAGCCUGGGAACGGCCCUUGUCUCCAAAAUUAAAAAUAAAUUUUUUUUAGAAAAUGUUAAAUACUGUGAAAUAAUCUAUUUCCAAGUGUUGGAUAUUUUUUCUGCACAGUAGUGAAAUUAUUGCUGGCUGUCUCGGUGUAAGAAUGGCCAUUGAGCUGCCUCAUAUCCUGAUGGGAAGGUGCAGGGCCAGAAGUUGAAUCACACUAUGAGUGUGUUUUAUGGGCCAGCUGUGAACCUAUGAAAGUAGCAAAGAAGAAAUAAGAUUUGAAAAGCAUGAUUCCAAAAGAGUCUGGAAAAUUCUUCCAGUUGUCAGACAUGCAAAGUUGUAAUUUCAUAUCCAUAAUUCUUUAUGCUUUUUCUUAUAGCAGGCCCUGACAUUGUAUAAGCUUCAGGCCCCACAAAACCUGGAUCUGCCCUGCCAGGAUCAGCAUCUAGAGGAAAACUACUACUUCCACAAUAGCACAACCAAUCUGAUCAUCCCUGCAUCAGUGAGCAUUCUCCAGAGAAACAGAGCCAACAGGAUAUGUGUAUAUAUGUGAAGAAAGACUUAUUUUAAGGAGUUGGCUCAUGCAAUUAUGGAGGUGCAAGUCCAAAAUCUGUAGGGCAGGCAGAUGGGCAGACUGGAGACCCAGAGAAGAGUUGCAGUUCAAGUCCAAAGUCGGUUGGAAGAAUUCCCUCUUGCUGGGUAACACUGGGGAAGCAGGAGUAGAUGGAAAGGGGAGGUGUCAGGCUUUGCUCUACCAAGGACUUCAACUGAUUGGAUGAGGCCCAGUAACAUUAUGGAGGGAAACCUGCUUUGCUCAGAGUUUACUGAUUUAAAUAUUAAUCUCAUCCACAAAAAAAUAAAUAACCUUCACAGAAACAUUUAGAAUAUUUGACCAAAUAUCUAAGUCCCAUGGCUCAGACAACUUAACACAUAAAAUUAUCCAUCACAAUUCCAUUAUCCCAAUACAGGUCGGCAGGGCCUUGGGCAGGUGGUAACCUCAGCUCUGGAGUCUACAGCAAUACUCUCACACUUAACAGAUGUAGUUCUGUGGGUCCAGGUCCCACUUCGCAAGAGAGAAUCUGAUGGGCUAAUUUCGACCAAGUCUCCUUUCCUAGUUCAAUCACGUGUAAGGGUUAGAGAAAGGGUUGGGCUCACAAGGGACUUAGGGCUGCCUCUCUGGACUUGGGAGAGCAGGACUUCUCAAGAGAUAAAUGGUUAGAGAGUAAUAUAAUUUGGAUAUUUGUCCCCUAUAAAUCUCAUGUUGAAAUUUGAUGUUCAAUGUUGAGGGCAGGUCUGGGACCUCCCUCCCUGCUUUUGCUCCCCCUCUCGCCAUAUGGCACAACUGCUCCCUUCACCUUCUGCUAUGAAUGGAAGCUUCCUGAGGCCUUCACCAAAAGCGGAGGCUGGUACCAUGCUUCACGCACAGCCUGCAGAAUCAUGAGCCAAAUAAACUACUUUUCUUUAUAAAUCAUCCAGUUUCAGGUAUUCGCUUAUAGCAACACAAAAUGGACUAAUACAGAGAGGAAAUAUUUUGAGCACAUUGAAGGCCCCAAAAUAUUGAGCUUUUUUUUUUUAACCUAUAUAGUACUUUUCUUGCAUCUCAGUUUGCUUAUCUAUAGAAUGAGGAUUAAUAAGACCUACCAACUUCAGGGGGUCAUUCUGGUGAGAUAAGUGAAAAAAUUUGUAAAGAAGUGUAUAAAUUUACCAUUGUUUUUUAAAACUAAAAUGAUCUCUAACACUAAGUUGAUGAUCUGAUCACAAAGAUGGGGUAGAUGAAAUGAAGAGAAAAGGUUUCUGACAUUUGUAUACUUAGAAAUGUAUCCAGGCUGGGCAUGGUGGUCCAUACCUGUAAUCCCAGCACUUUGAGAGGCCAACGCAGGAGGGUCACUUGAGGCCACGAGUUCAAAACCAGCCUGGCCACAUUGAGAGGUGACAGUGUGUUGGCAGUCCUCACAGC